UACGUAGGGUCCGAGCGUUGUCCGGAUUUACUGGGCGUAAAGCGCGCGCAGGCGGCCCGCGAGGUGUCACGUGAAAGCCCCGGGCUCAACUCGGGAGGGUCGUGGCAAACCGGCGGGCUUGAGGCCGGUAGAGGUGGGUGGAACUCCUGGUGGAGUGGUGAAAUGCGUAGAGAUCAGGAAGAACACCCGUGGCGAAGGCGGCCCACUGGGCCGGUGCUGACGCUGAGGCGCGAAGGCGUGGGGAGCGAACGGG
rnacentral:rRNA from 1 species